UGGCAUGCAACAGAACUUCAUCAAAUGCUUUCAGAGACCAUUGAGAACUGCUGUUGUGCUUGAAAAUUUAAUACUCCCUGCUGCACAAGUUUACUGUUGUUUGAAACUUGACUUUCCCAUUUUCCCCAUCUUCACUUAAUAAUGAAAAUGGAAUGUUACAUUUGAAGAUACUACAACCUUUUACCAUAUGUAGUUCCUUUAAAAACACAACAGUUCUUAAAUGCAUGUUUUUUAUGAUUGCAGUACUUGGCCGAGGAUGAAAACAAUAAUCUGAUUCCUUGCAUACUUUCAGUGAUACGCAAAAAAUCUGAUGGAUUAAAGGAUUUUCUGAGGCCAAAACUAAUAUCCAUAUUUACUUGUUCUUUGUUUUUAAAUUAGGCGGCUUCUUAGCAUCUGAGCAGUGAAGGUUUUGGUAGCUCUAGCAGGAUUUUACUCUAAAGAUUUUUCAAUUUAAACCUUUCAUUUGUCAACAGAUCUCAACUAGAUUUUUAUUGCUGAAGAAUAUGUUGUUAUAACAGCACACAUCUAUAAAGAUUUUAAAGAAUUUAAAAGAUGCUUGUUUUAGGCAAAUUUUUACUGAUUGAAACAAGAUGAGGAAAAGAGUGAAUAUGUUCUGAUUUCCAAAACAGUCUUUGCCUCAGUAUACUUGGUUUUAUACCAAUUCUGACCUUAUAUUAAGGUGAGGCAGCUAUGAAACUGAGAAUGUAAGCCUUUGUAAUCAGUUGGGAGCAUUGCACAUGAAAAUGAAAUAUUACUUUUUGAUACAGAACAUGGAAUUGGAGCUUUGAAAAAUAAGAAUUAUAAUUAAAGGUCAUAUUCUGCUUCCUCUCUUCAGUGAAUAUUUGUUGUAAUAGUCUUUCCUUAGCAUCCGUCUACAGAAAAUAAACACAGUACUGAAACAACUUUUUCUGACAAGGAAAUACUUGAAAGUCUUAACUUGACUGAUGCACAGCAUUCGCUUCACUGAUUAGAAAUAGUGCUUUUGGAUGUGCUCUUUCAAAUUUUACAAGAUACAUAUAUACAACAACAAGAAGCUACUAACUGUCUCCUGGUGAUAAACAAAGAGAAAACAAGUAGUAAAGCAAAAAGAAGGACCUCUGAGUUGAAAUACGCCAGGUGGAUGUGGAACAGGUCUGUGUGGGGUUUCAGCUAGUACUAAAAACAUCUUGUUCUGGUUUUUACCUUAAGUCACUGUUAAAAAAAUACAUACUUUCAGUUACUGUGUAUAUCCCUAAGGACCCUUUUCCUUUGGUGCCUCCAGAACAGGAAGGUUGUUUGUUAAAACUAAGAUUUUAUUUUUUUUUCUUUUUUAAGUAUAAAUUAAAUUGGAAUUUAGCAUAGCUUUAAUUCUUACUUCAAAGAUAGUCUAGGUUUUAAUGUUGUCUUUAUAAUAGUUUUUAACAAUUUGUAAUGCAAAUUACAGAGUUCAGAGCAUAAUAGGAAAGGUAAAAAUAUGUAUAUUUUCAGAUCUUGAAUAAGACUCAAAGUCAACAAAGUAAAUGUGACAUGUAUAUGUAUCAAUUGAAUCUUUCUCGAUAUACCUAAAAGUUGAAGAAAUCAGUCAGAUAAACUGAAUAUAGGUAUUAAUUUAUCUUGAUAAACCUUUUGUCAUAUUCUUAAUUCAGCAUUGCCUAACCGUGACCAACAAGGUGAGGAGCAGUUCACACCUCCUCUUGCCAAGCUCUGUCAGAAUGCGUUUCAUGAGCUUCCUGCUGAAAGGGACGCUCCAGAAUGAACCACCUUUCAGAACCUAGAAGUUGAACCAAUAUUGACAAAGCAUCAGCAUUUACAUCUGUCUUUAUUUUUUUAAUUUCAGUAGUUCAGAUUUCACUGAAAAUUCUUCGAGAUCUUCAGCACAUGGAAGAUUAGAAUCAGUAAUUUAGUAUUAAAAUAAGCAGUAGUUAAGGCCUCUCAUAAAUACCAGAAGGUGAUCAAGGAAAACUUUCCUCCCCUUGCAAGUUUUGUGUAGUGCUAUCAGGAUUAAAUGAAGCACAAUUCACGGUUAAUGAAGUUUUUACUCCUCUAUUAAAACAAAACUUAAUCUCCUAAAAUGCUGUCCCUUUUGCUUUUCAUACAUAAUUUCUGUCCAGACUUUGCUAUUUUAGCAUAAACGUAUGCCAUAUUUAGCCCAGACAAAUGUUUUUAGCUUUUGUUAAUUUGAAAAUAUCAUGGAGUAGACACGCAAGUGUAUCCUCUCUACAUAUUGAUAGCCUGAGUCACAUAUCUGUAAGUUCA